GGACGCCUUCAGUUGUUACUUCAACAAUUGGUGGAUUGGCUAGCUUUACCACACGCAAAUCCACCUGUGUUGGAUGCAAAACCGUCCUUCCAGACGAUAGUGCUGUAUGCAAAUUUUGCAAGCCGAAAGAAUCGGAGUUCUACUAGAGGGAAAUUGGCCAACUUUAUGCUCUCGAAGAGAAGUUUAAUCGUUUAUGGACAGAAUGACAACGGUGCCAGGGAAAUCUCAACGAAGAGAUUCUUUGUUCCAACCGAGAUUGCCCCAUCCUUUAUUUGAGGACAAAAGUUAGAAAAGAUCUCACGGAACAGGAUAAACUUAUGAAAAGAUUCGACCUACCCUGACAACCUACCGCUCUCGUCAAUGAUGGUGCAUACAGCGUCGUAAGAGUCUCGGAGGGAGUAGGCGGUAAAAUGCGUGAUGUCAUUGUAAUAAAGCUGGCCACACCUCGAAAAGCUGCACAAAUCUCUUCAGUGAAUUGACAGAAGAUGGAAAGCGAUGUGAGCAAUACAUUCUGGAAGCUGUGACAUGUGAUGAAAAGGAACUAUUUAAGGGCAUCGUCUGUGUGGGAACUCUUUAACAAUUUUGAUAAAGUUGUCCUUCAGGUUACAGGAAAAGAUGUAUCUCAAUACAUAACACCAUUCUAAGAAGCCGGCCUGCACCAACUACUACUUGAUUCAAAUGGGACGCUAUGAACUGGGCGGCGUACUUGGUACCGGUUAUGAACAUAUUGUUAGAACAAGGCGUUGCUGGUGCGUCUCCUGCCAUGGCUCAAAAGCCAGAAGUGGUAAUUGGCGCACCCACUCGUGAAUUAGCCAUUCAAAUUCACUGGGAGGCGUGUAAAUUCUCUUUAACAAUUUUUUAAAAGUCGUCCUCCAGGUUACAGGAAAAGAUGUACUUCAAUACAUAACACCAUUUUAAGAAGCCGGCCUGCGCCAACUACUACUUCAAAACAUUAAGAAUUCUGGCUACAUAAAACCAACACCUGUACAGAAAGCUUCAGUUACAGUUAUUCUUGCCAAAAGAGAUUUGAUUGCUUGUGCUGUCAUGUGCUCCGGCAAAACGGCAAUCCAAUUAUUAACGCUGUAUAAUUUUGAAACCUUGAUGCCCUUGUACUGAGUUGAUUCAAAUGGGUCGGUAUGAACUGGGUAAGUUGAAGUAAAAGUAAUUUUGUUUGGGCACGCCGGUGAUUGCGACUACUAAAAGGUCCAAUUGCAUCUAAGAUACUUAACAACCCCUUCGUGAUGUUCGUUGAUUAAGUCAUCUUAAAUUUAACAUUUUUUCAUGCAGGUGGCGUACUUGGUACCGGUUAUGAACAUAUUGUUAGAACAAGAUGUUGCUGGUGCGACUCAUGCCAUGGUUCAAAAGCCAGAAGUUGUAAUUGUCGCACCCGCUCGUGAAUUGCCCAUUCAAAUUCACCGCGAGGCGUGUAAAUUCUCCUACAGUUCGGUUUUAAAGUCUGUGAUUAUAUAUGGAGGAACUGUCACGAGCCAUCAGCGAUCAAAUCUUCAAGCUGGGUGCAAUAUUCUUGUCGCGACCGCGGGGCGACGCAAGGAUUUUCUCGACCGUGGAGUAUUUUACUUCUCGGGGUCAGGUUUUAAAUUUUGGACGAAGCUGAUCGAAUGCUUGACAUGGGUUUCGGCCCCAAUGUUGAAACUAUAAUUUUUAUCAACCAUCCAACGAUGCAUCCGAAAGGAAUCCGUCGUGCUUGUAUGUUUUCGGCUACAUUCCCAGAUGAAGUAAAAGCGCUGGCUGUGACGUACAUGGAAGACUACAUAUUCGUCACAACAGGCAUUGACGGUGGCACGAAUCCGGAUGUUCAAUAGCUGUUUGUUCAGUGCGCGAAAAGAGAUAAGAGAACUAAGCUGAUCGAAGUUUUACAAGAUCUCGGUGAUGCCAAGACUAUCGUUUUUGUCGACAGCAAAAUCACGGCGGAUUUCGUCUCUGCAUUUUUCUGCAAUAACACCUUACAAUCUACCAGCAUCCAUGGUGAUCGUCUUCAGAGUCAGCGUAAGCAAGCUUCGUGACUUCAGAAAUGGUAUUAGGAAUAUUCUCGUGGUGACUAAUGUUGCUGUCCGUGGUAUAGAUAUUGCCAGCGUCAACUAUGUCGUAAAUUAUGACUUGCCAACUGAUAUUGAAGAGUAUGUUCAUCGUGUUGGUCGAACGGGCUGCGUGGGAAAUGUUGGAAAAUCAAUAAGCUUCUUCGACCAAGAAAGAGAUGGCCCUAACGCUGGAAAGUUUGUGUCUUUUUUAACUAAGUCCAACGCCGAUGUCCCGCCAUUCAUGCAAGCGAUGGUCUCAGGUGUGAGUGGAAUGGGUUACGACUUUAGCGCCCCUUCGACUCAAGGGGGCUUUGCUAGUCGAGAUAUGCGCCGAGCAAGU